rnacentral:ribozyme from 1 species
AUGUGUAUUUGCUCUGUUAAUGGGGUAGGAACCGAGACUCCUUUCGGGGUUACACAGGCUCUCCAACCCAACUCCUAUUCCGUCACGUCCUCGUCGUACAGAGUGUUAACGUUCCCCACCAUAUAUCCAAGCUUGAAAACC